AGAGUUUGAUCCUGGCUCAGGACGAACGCUGGCGGUGUGCUUCACACAUGCAAGUCGAGCGAAUGAAGUAGGUAGCUUGCUACUUAUGGAUUUAGCGGCGGACGGGUGAGUAAUAUAUAGGAAUCUGCCUUAGAGCGGGGAACAACAGACCGAAAGGUUUGCUAAUGCCCCAUAGGUAUGCAGUCUUCGGAUUGUAUAUUAAAGGAGUAAUCCACUCUAAGAUGAGCCUGUAUCCGAUUAGCUAGUUGGCGGGGUAAAGGCCCACCAAGGCUACGAUCGGUAGUUGGUCUGAGAGGAUGAUCAGCCACAAUGGGACUGAGACACGGCCCAUACUCCUACGGGAGGCAGCAGUGGGGAAUUUUACACAAUGGGGAAAACCCUGAUGUAGCGACACCGCGUGAACGAAGAAGCCUUUUGGGGUGUAAAGUUCUGUCGGCUGGAACGAAAAAAAUGACGGUACCAGCAAAGGAAGCAUCGGCUAACUACGUGCCAGCAGCCGCGGUAAGACGUGGGAUGCAAGCGUUGUCCGGAUUUAUUGGGCGUAAAGAGUUCGUAGGCGGUUAUUUAAGUCUGAUGUUAAAUACUGUGGCCCAACCACAGAACUGCAUUGGAUACUGGAUGACUUGAGUGCGGUAGAGGCAAGUGGAAUUCCCAGUGUAGCGGUGAAAUGCGUAGA
rnacentral:rRNA from 1 species